rnacentral:rRNA from 1 species
GGGGGGGGGGGGGGGGGGGGGGGGGGCGUGCGGGUCGGGGGAGGCCUGCGGGGGUAGUGGCGCGCGGGUGCGUAACGCGUGGGAGCCUGCCAUGCGGGUGGGCCUGACUCCCCGACCUAGUUUCUACUACCGUAUACUGUCUUCGGACCAAAGAUUUAUCGCCUUUGGAGGGGCCCGCGUUGGAUUAGCUAGUUGGUAGGGUAAAAGCCUACCAAGGCGACGAUCCAUAGCUGGUCUGAGAGGAUGAUCAGCCACACUGGGACUGAGACACGGCCCAGACUCCUACGGGAGGCAGCAGUGGGGAAUAUUGGACAAUGGGCGAAAGCCUGAUCCAGCAAUGCCGCGUGAGUGAUGAAGGCCUUAGGGUUGUAAAGCUCUUUUACCCGGGAUGAUAAUGACAGUACCGGGAGAAUAAGCUCCGGCUAACUCCGUG